AUGCCAGGUGCUAGAAACCACCACCCUUCAUCCCAUAUUUUUAUCAGGCCUGGUAGACCUUUGUGCCUGGGCUGGGUGCGGUGUGUUUACAUUUCCCUGUGUGUCCAAGGUGACAGCGAGGCGGCAAGGGGAGCAGGGAGCGGUGAAGCCAGUUUCAGUGCUGUAGGGUGUCAGCCCUGCCCUCAGGCAGGGCCCACCUAUUUAAAGGGUGCUGGAGGGCUGGUUCUACCACCCCAGGGAGAGCUGUGCUGGCGCUGGGGACGGGCUGCUGCUGGUAGAGGUGCGAUUCGUCUCUGCUCACCAAAGCGGAGCUUGGAGGCAGCAGGAGGAUGUGGAACCCCAACCAAGGAACACCUGGAGGGGUGCCACCACCACAAGCGCAAAUUUGCCCGCCUGCCCCUCCAACAUACCCUGGGUCCUGCAUGCCACCAGGUCCCUAUCCCGGCUACCCUCCGGCACCGUCUGGCCCUCCUGCGGCCCAUCCCAUGGGACCCCCGGGUGGCUACCCCUGUGGUCCCCCUCCCCCUGGCCCCCAUCCACCUGGACAUCACCCCCAUGGCCCCCACCCACCAGGGCAUCACCCCCACGGACACCCCCCACCAGGGGUGCAGGUGUGCCCACCAUGCCCGCCUGGCUGCCAUCAGAAGCAUCAUAAGAAGCACAAGAAGAAACACUCGAAGUCCGGCCAUAAGCACCAUGGGGGCAAGCACUCCUCAAGCAGCUCAAGCAGCAGUUCUGACUCUGACUAAAGACGACAUCUCCUACCCGCCUAGUGAUGAAUCAACAGAAGAAACAAAAUACAAAGAUGAAUGUCCCAUGAGGACUAUCAGUUUGUUGGUUCUGUUCCUUUUCCCUUUCUCUGUAAACUGGAUUUUGCCUGUUGCGUGA
rnacentral:lncRNA from 1 species